AGCAACUUACCUACAGGAAUAGACAUACAACCUCAGUUUCCUGGUUCUGGGCUGGGUCCUCUAGAUCUGUGGUUUCGGAACUAAUUCGAGAGAUUGUUAAACGUAACUUUGUUUUGUUUUGUUUAGGUACCCAUCCCCAAAAUACCAAAUCUCUGGAGUUGUCGUUUAUAUAAAGCCUCCUCAAUGUCUGGUUAAGACGAGCAUUUUCUCUUGCCCCAGUGGCUUCAACCAGAUCUUCUUGACUCUGAUUAUUUCACUCCCAGCCCCAGACACAAGACUGGGAGAAGCGUCUUUGUGUUCUCCGACAGGGAAAGGGCAAGGGCACAGCCUCUGAGAGGAUUAUGUCACAUAAACAUUCGGGACACAGUGAGCACUCGGGAAGUCAGAGACACUGGAUGGAUCACUUCCUGUUUGCAUCCAGGAGAACGUAAACCUUGUAAGCAUUGACCUCAAAGUCAACCCUGCAGAGUCACUCCCGAGAGGUCACCGCUCGCUAAUUCCCACGAUCUAACUCACUGCUCACUUGUGCGGGGAGGAGGCGCAACGUGACCAGGACCAUGUGCUAAGUGCCUGUUUCCACCCAGAGUCCCGUCUGUGUGUGAUUCCUGCAGAGGCUGCGUGACUCAGCUUCCCCAUGCAAAGCCUCCCCAAGCAGCAGGAUCCUUAAACCCAAGGAGGAUCUUCUUUUUAUCCUUUUUCCUUCUUCCUUCAGGGAAGAGAAUCAGCAAAACAGAGGGAAGGGGUUUGAGCACUUCAGGGACCCCAGACGGCUACACCUCCUCUCAACCCCCUCCGUUCCCACUGUUCCAUGUUUUCUCGAUCAGGCGAGUAAUUGGAGGUGGAAGAAGAACUGCUCUGGAAGGUGAACUCGAUCCCUUGAAAAUCUGUGGAGAAGCUGCAGACAAACCACUAAAUCUGUUUAGCAAAGUCUCUGAAGCCAAGACUGCCCUGGUUCCGUGACUAGAGGCAGGCAGAGCGUGGUGGGAACAGAAGAAUAUACGAUAUUCAGCCUCUGCUUUCUUUUCCAGAGUUACUUGACAUGGGAAGAAUAAAAGACUCAGCAUGAGUCAUUUUCUAAAGUCAC